rnacentral:rRNA from 1 species
GAUGAACGCUGGCGGCGUGCCUAAUACAUGCAAGUCGAGCGAACAGAUGAGGAGCUUGCUCCUCUGACGUUAGCGGCGGACGGGUGAGUAACACGUGGAUAACCUACCUAUAAGACUGGGAUAACUUCGGGAAACCGGAGCUAAUACCGGAUAAUAUAUUGAACCGCAUGGUUCAAUAGUGAAAGACGGUUUUGCUGUCACUUAUAGAUGGAUCCGCGCCGCAUUAGCUAGUUGGUAAGGUAACGGCUUACCAAGGCAACGAUGCGUAGCCGACCUGAGAGGGUGAUCGGCCACACUGGAACUGAGACACGGUCCAGACUCCUAAGGGAGGCAGCAGUAGGGAAUCUUACGCAAUGGGCGAAAGCCUGACGGAGCAACGCCGCGUGAGUGAUGAAGGUCUUCGGAUCGUAAAACUCUGUUAUUAGGGAAGAACAAAUGUGUAAGUAACUGUGCACGUCUUGACGGUACCUAAUCAGAAAGCCACGGCUAACUACGUG